rnacentral:lncRNA from 1 species
CUUGAUGGAGUCGUGCUGCGAGAAGCGUGGCUUGCCGAUGCACAGACAGAGCCCGCCGGACAGGAUCGUGCCGGAGCCGGGUAUCACAACGUUGAGAAACUGCAGAGAAGGAAAGAGAAGGAGGCUGCUGGGAAACCAACGAUCACCAAGCGCGAGCCGUAACUAUGGCACCCAUGGUAACCGCCAAAUAACAAUCGCGAAGUUAUAAAGGUCGAGUCUCGCUGCUGAUCAGCUCAAACCGUUCCUGGCGUUUGGUGAGAACAGACCUACAAUUCAAUUAGCUCCGCCUUCUCUCGCCUUUUUUCUUUCAGGUCCUGAUGGGAUCCUGCUUGGGCUGUUGCGUUGGGGGAAUAGAGUCCCGCCGACAUGGGCGGAAGGCCACUGCGCAAGUUGGCACAGGGGAUCGGAGUGUGGUCUAUGAGGAGGCUCCGUGCAAAAUGGUGACAAAACCGACCGACUAUGACGGACGCGACGAGAUGGUUCCGGAGCCGGAUCCACCGGAGUCGAAACAAAAUUAUUUUUCUCUUGACAUUUUGGAAAAUUCCGACUCUCCGGUGGAUUCGGUUCCAGGACCAUCGAAAAUGGACAAUUUAUUAAAUGAAUCUUUAGAACAAACCGCGGCGGUUCCACCGAUUGUGGAACCGUCUGCGGAUGUAAAUUUGAUUUCUCUUCCAGAUUCAAUGGGGUGGUUUCUGGGUGACGAAGCCGUCACGUUGGUUCCGGUGGUGGUGAUUCCGGUGCCGGAUUCACCGGAAGAUGGUUCCGGUGUGAAUCCGGUACCGGAACCACCGGCACAAAUUGAAAUUUCCCUAUUGAAUUCCCAAAAUUUAGAUUUUUCGGCAUCAUUUCUUUCCAAAUUUGACAUUUUAGGCUCCUGUCAAAAUUCGGGUUCGGCUACUGUUCCAUGGUUGCUUCGAUCGGAGCAUUCGAAAUUUGUCAGUUUGGUACUUUUUUUGCUUUGUGGCAUGACGUAUACUUUUUAUGUUGCUGUUGCAUACUUUUAUUGGUUUUACUGUUUGCGGUUAUUGUUAUCUGUUCUUGAUUAAUCGUUUUUGUUCUUGUUUCUAUUUUCAUGAGAGGUUCCCUGUUACUGGCGUUACUGGCGUUACUGAAGUUGGAUAGUUAUCGAUGCUACUGUGGAUGAAUUGGGAGAAACUAUUGUGAUCGAGUGAAGACCGACUGGCGGACCGACCAAUCGGAAGGGUUGAAAUUGAUGGAAUUAUCGAUUGUCUUGGCGAGGAUCCAAUUUGUGGAAUGCGCGAUGGAUAUCCGGAGAAGCAGUUUGGUGGCUGGAACUGAAGCAUUAGUUUUAGUUAAUGACAUGUACAUUGAAUUGAAUUGUAAUAUUUUCUCGUAAUUAAUUCACUUGAAUAAAUGUUUUUUUCACAAAAUGAUAUGACUUGUUUAUUUAUUCUGCUUUUAUUUUCUAUUCUAUAUUUUUUUAAAUAAAUGUGUUGCCUUAAUUUGACAUGAGUGCGCUUCCUAUGGUCCCGCAGUAGCUAUUCGUGUGCAUGGGGUGAUUAGUUAUUAUAACUGAGAGUCGUUUGCGGGCUGCUUGGCCACGUCGCU